rnacentral:rRNA from 1 species
UACGUAGGGCGCAAGCGUUGUCCGGAAUUAUUGGGCGUAAAGGGUAGGUAGGUGGUCUCAUUUGUCUGGGGUGAAAGCCUUGAGCUUAACUCAAGAAGUGCCCCAGAAACGGUGAGACUGGAGUCCUGGAGAGGGUCGUGGAAUUCCCGGUGUAGCGGUGAAAUGCGUAGAGAUCGGGAGGAACACCAGAGGCGAAAGCGGCGACCUGGACAGGCACUGACACUCAACUACGAAAGCGUGGGGAGCAAACAGG